rnacentral:rRNA from 1 species
UACGAAGGGGGCUAGCGUUGCUCGGAAUUACUGGCGUAAAGGGCGCGUAGGCGGUCAGCACAAGUCAGUUGUGAAAUCUCCGGGCUUAACUCGGAAAGGUCAACUGAUACUGUGCGACUAGAGUGCAGAAGGGGCAACUGGAAUUCUCGGUGUAGCGGUGAAAAUGCGUAGAUAUCGAGAGGAAACACCUGCGGCGAAAGGCGGGGUUUUGCUGGGGCUGACACUGA